UUCUACUCAAAAAAGGAAAAGAGGUAAAACAAAGAUGCUAAAUGUACAUGGAAGGCGUGAGCGAAAAUUGAUAGUAGUAAAUGAAAACAACCAACCUGUUGGCCCUAGUAAAGAUGUUAUGACAGAAUUGGGAAGUUUCCUCGACACACUGGCAAGGAAUGCGACUCUUUGUCCUCUUGAUAUAUUUGAUUGGAGGAAAAUGGACAUAAAAUAUGAUCUAUGGGCGUAUACCAAGGAGAAAUAUGAUAUUCCUGACACUUCAAAAAAAUGGACUUUGGAUACAGUUCAAGCUGCUUGGAGAAGACACAAGAGUACUUUGAAAAAAAAUCACUUUGAGGCCUAUGCAGAUGAUGAAAUUCGACUGCAAAAAAGGCAUUAAUAUACUCCAGCAUCUCAAUUUAAGGAUCUCCUCAAAUAUUGGGGAUCUGAAAAUGUCCAGGUAAGUCUAUUACUUGCGGCAACUAAAGCUUAUUACUUACAAAUAAUGGCAUGCCUGCACUUAGAUAAAAAGAAUAGGACAAUGAACUGGACUGUCCGACUUCUGGUACAGCUUAACUGAACACCUCUUAACUGAACUCCUUAAAUAUUGGGGAUCUGAAAAAGUCCAGAUAAGUCUACUACUUGACUCAGUUCUUUGCAGAAAAUGUCAAAGAUCAAUAUUGAGAAUAAAAAAUAAUUGAAGAAUCCACACACGGUUGGCAAAACAAGCUUUGCUGUAAUCCGCACUAAUUUGGUGUGUGCUCUUAUUUAUCAGUAAAUAUGAUCAUGUUGUCAUUUUUAAGAAUAUUUUUGAUACCCACUCUUAAUGUAUCCAGGAAAAAGAGAAGAACACUUCUGACCCUUUAUCACUUCGAGAAUUCUUUGUGGCUACAACAAAAAGAAAACCUUGAAGGUCGUACAAGGACUAUGAUCAAGAUACAACUAGUAAAAUUGUUUUUCGGAAUCGAAUUGGAAGAAUGGACUUCAAUGUUGAAACUUUAAAUUGAGAGAGUUGACCAAGUUUGACUUUUUCUGAAUUUGAACCCGGAACAGAGUUUUGAUUAUUCCAUUAGCUCC